UACGUAGGGUGCAAGCGUUGUCCGGAAUUAUUGGGCGUAAAGAGCUCGUAGGCGGUUUGUCGCGUCUGCUGUGAAAACCCGAGGCUCAACCUCGGGCCUGCAGUGGGUACGGGGCAGACUAGAGUGCGGUAGGGGAGAUUGGAAUUCCUGGUGUAGCGGUGGAAUGCGCAGAUAUCAGGAGGAACACCAAUGGCGAAGGCAGAUCUCUGGGCCGUAACUGACGCUGAGGAGCGAAAGCAUGGGGGAGCGAACAGG
rnacentral:rRNA from 1 species